UUUGUGGUGAAAACAGUAAAAAAAAUAAAAACAAAUUAAUAAAAGGUGGUAUUGUGAUCCAUUAAGUUUUUUUCGCGGAAGUACAUUUUUUGUCUUUGAAUACACGUACACAUUUGUGUACACUGUGAAUCAGGGAAGUAAAAUUACAAGAAUCCUCGUUUGUAAUAAGCCGAAAACGCCCGCUAACAGAUAAAGAACUAUUAGAUUUAAUAGAAGCCGGAUUAUCAGACAUUGAAGGACUCAGUGACGCGGCGAAUUCAAUGAAGAUGAUGGCUUUGACUUUGAUUCUGAAGAAUUACAAGCAAUGAGUGAUGAGCAGGAAGCGGCUGAACCUGUUCCCAGCACACCUGUAACUCAACAACGUGAAGAGACUGAGCAGCUAGAACAAGCAGAACCUAAACCUGUUCCCAACAUAAUGGCAAACACUCCACAAAAGUCGAAGGAAUCCAAUAUAGAAGACUAUUUGGAAAACAAUGGUCUUUCAAAGAAAAAGGAUAUAUUCUGGCGAAAAAAUGUGCAGAAUAUCACUCCACCGAUAGAGUGGCACGUUAGAGAAGAAGAACCAGUAGUUCAGCUAGAAGCCCAGCGUUUUUUUUUCUGUAAUUAUUUUGCAGAUAUUU